CUAUGCGUCCCAUUAGUUAGUUGGUAAGGUAACGGCUUACCAAGGCAGCGAUGGGUAGGGGCCCUGAGAGGGGGAUCCCCCACACUGGUACUGAGACACGGACCAGACUCCUACGGGAGGCAGCAGUGAGGAAUAUUGGACAAUGGGCGGGAGCCUGAUCCAGCCAUGCCGCGUGCAGGAAGACGGUCCUAUGGAUUGUAAACUGCUUUUGUACGGGAAGAAUAAGGGCUACGUGUAGUCUGUUGACGGUACCGUAAGAAUAAGGAUCGGCUAACUCCGUGCCAGCAGCCGCGGUAAUACGGAGGAUCCGAGCGUUAUCCGGAAUCAUUGGGUUUAAAGGGUCCGUAGGCGGGCCAUUAAGUCAGGGGUGAAAGUCUGCGGCUCAACCGUAGAAUUGCCCUUGAUACUGGUGGUCUUGAGUUAUGGUGAAGUGGCCGGAAUAUGUAGUGUAGCGGUGAAAUGCAUAGAUAUUACAUAGAACACCGAUUGCGAAGGCAGGUCACUAACCAUAUACUGACGCUGAUGGACGAAAGCGUGGGGAGCGAACAGGAUUAGAUACCCUGGUAGUCCACGCCGUAAACGAUGGAUACUAGCUGUCCGGGCGCAAGCCUGGGCGGCCAAGCGAAAGUGAUAAGUAUCCCACCUGGGGAGUACGUCCGCAAGGAUGAAACUCAAAGGAAUUGACGGGGGCCCGCACAAGCGGUGGAGCAUGUUUUUUAAUUCGAUGAUACGCGAGGAACCUUACCAGG
rnacentral:rRNA from 1 species